rnacentral:rRNA from 1 species
UACGUAGGGUGCAAGCGUUGUCCGGAAUUAUUGGGCGUAAAGAGCUCGUAGGCGGUUUGUCGCGUCUGCUGUGAAAACUCGGGGCUUAACCCCGGGCCUGCAGUGGGUACGGGCAGACUAGAGUGCGGUAGGGGAGACUGGAAUUCCUGGUGUAGCGGUGAAAUGCGCAGAUAUCAGGAGGAACACCAGUGGCGAAAGCGGCUUCCUGGUCCAGCACCGACGUUCAGGCACGAAAGCGUGGGGAGCAAACAGG